rnacentral:rRNA from 1 species
AUUGAACGCUGGCGGCAUGCCUUACACAUGCAAGUCGAACGGCAGCACGGGUGCUUGCACCUGGUGGCGAGUGGCGAACGGGUGAGUAAUACAUCGGAACGUACCUUAUCGUGGGGGAUAACGCAGCGAAAGCUGUGCUAAUACCGCAUACGCCAUGAGGGGGAAAACGGGGGAUCGCAAGACCUCGCGCGAUUAGAGCGGCCGAUGCCUGAUUAGCUAGUUGGUGGGGUAAAAGCCCACCAAGGCGACGAUCAGUAGCUGGUCUGAGAGGACGAUUAGCCACACUGGGACUGAGACACGGCCCAGACUCCUACGGGAGGCAGCAGUGGGGAAUUUUGGACAAUGGGGGCAACCCUGAUCCAGCAAUGCCGCGUGAGUGAAGAAGGCCUUCGGGUUGUAAAGCUCUUUUGUCAGGGAAGAAACACCGGCUCUAACACAGUCCGGGAAUGACGGUACCUGAAGAAUAAGCACCGGCUAACUACGUGCCAGCCGCCGCCGUAA